rnacentral:rRNA from 1 species
CCUACGGGAGGCAGCAGUGAGGAAUAUUGGUCAAUGGGCGGGAGCCUGAACCAGCCAAGCCGCGUGAGGGAAGAAGGUACAGCGUAUCGUAAACCUCUUUUGUCAGGGAACAAAGGCGGGGACUAGUCCCCUGCUGAGUGUACCUGAAGAAAAAGCAUCGGCUAACUCCGUGCCAGCAGCCGCGGUAAUACGGGGGAUGCGAGCGUUAUCCGGAUUUAUUGGGUUUAAAGGGUGGGCAGGCGGCCUGUUAAGUCAGCGUGAAAAGCCCGGGGCACAGCCCCGGCGAGCGGUUGAAACUGGCGGGCUGGAGUGGGAGAGAAGUAAGCGGAAUGCGCGGUGUAGCGGUGAAAUGCUUAGAUAUCGCGCAGAACCCCGAUUGCGAAGGCAGCGUACCGGAUACACACUGACGCUGAGGCACGAAAGCGUGGGUAUCGAACAGGAUUAGAUACCCGGGUAGUC